GAAACGACUGCUAAGACUGGAUAGGAGACAAGAAGGCAUCUUCUUGUUUUUAAAAGACCUAGCAAUAGGUAUGCUUAGGGAGGAGCUUGCGUCACAUUAGUUAGUUGGUGGGGUAAAGGCCUACCAAGACUAUGAUGUGUAGCCGGGCUGAGAGGUUGAACGGCCACAUUGGGACUGAGACACGGCCCAAACUCCUACGGGAGGCAGCAGUAGGGAAUUUUCGGCAAUGGAGAAAACUCUGACCGAGCAACGCCGCGUGAACGAUGAAGUAUUUCGGUACGUAAAGUUCUUUUAUUAGGGAAGAAUAAAUGAUGGAAAAAUCAUUCUGACUGUACCUAAUGAAUAAGCCCCGGCUAACUAUGUGCCAGCAGCCGCGGUAAUACAUAGGGGGCAAGCGUUAUCCGGAAUUAUUGGGCGUAAAGGGUGCGUAGGCGGUUAAAUAAGUUUAUGGUCUAAGUGCAAUGCUCAACAUUGUGAUGCUAUAAAAACUGUUUAGCUAGAGUAAGAUAGAGGCAAGUGGAAUUCCAUGUGUAGUGGUAAAAUGCGUAAAUAUAUGGAGGAACACCAGUAGCGAAGGCGGCUUGCUGGGUCUUUACUGACGCUGAGGCACGAAAGCGUGGGGAGCAAACAGGAUUAGAUACCCUGGUAGUCCACGCCGUAAACGAUGAGUACUAAACGUUGGGUAAAACCAGUGUUGAAGUUAACACAUUAAGUACUCCGCCUGAGUAGUACGUACGCAAGUAUGAAACUUAAAGGAAUUGACGGGACUCCGCACAAGCGGUGGAUCAUGUUGUUUAAUUCGAAGGUACCCGAAAAACCUCACCAGGUCUUGACAUGCUUCUGCAAAGCUGUAGAAACACAGUGGAGGUUAUCAGUUGCACAGGUGGUGCAUGGUUGUCGUCAGCUCGUGUCGUGAGAUGUUGGGUUAAGUCCCGCAACGAGCGCAACCCUUAUUGUUAGUUACCAGCACGUAAUGGUGGGGACUUUAGCAAGACUGCCAGUGAUAAAUUGGAGGAAGGUUGGGACGACGUCAAAUCAUCAUGCCCCUUAUGACCUGGGCUACAAACGUGAUACAAUGGCUGUUACAAAGGGUAGCUGAAGCGCAAGUUUUUGGCGAAUCUCAAAAAAACAGUCUCAGUUCGGAUUGAAGUCUGCAACUCGACUUCAUGAAGUUGGAAUCGCUAGUAAUCGCGAAUCAGCAUGUCGCGGUGAAUACGUUCUCGGGGUUUGUACACACCGCCCGUCA
rnacentral:rRNA from 1 species